AGCGAACGCUGGCGGCAGGCUUAACACAUGCAAGUCGAGCGGGCGUAGCAAUACGUCAGCGGCAGACGGGUGAGUAACGCGUGGGAACGUACCUUUUGGUUCGGAACAACACAGGGAAACUUGUGCUAAUACCGGAUAAGCCCUUACGGGGAAAGAUUUAUCGCCGAAAGAUCGGCCCGCGUCUGAUUAGCUAGUUGGUGAGGUAACGGCUCACCAAGGCGACGAUCAGUAGCUGGUCUGAGAGGAUGAUCCGCCACAUUGGGACUGAGACACGGCCCAAACUCCUACGGGAGGCAGCAGUGGGGAAUAUUGGACAAUGGGCGCAAGCCUGAUCCAGCCAUGCCGCGUGAGUGAUGAAGGCCCUAGGGUUGUAAAGCUCUUUGUGCGGGAGGAUAAUGAC
rnacentral:rRNA from 1 species